GGCAAAGAACACCCCUGAAUUUCUUACAAACAAUAGAGUGCACUGGGUCAUUAUCAGGAUGGAGUGGUCAAAAGCUGAACCCAAGGAAGCUGUUGAUCAUGGGAGCCUGUUGAUGGGCUCAUAAAGACCAAGGUCCAGGAGCACAGAGCAGGUUUCUGUGCCCGGUUUCUAUCAGCUGAUGUAGCUAAGGAUGUAUCCUAGAUGGAGUAGGGAAGAAAGGACAUUGAGGAAGAGUUCGG